GACGAACCGUCCAAACGUUAUUCGGAAUCACUGGGCUUACAGAGUUCGUAGGCGGUCUGGAAAGUUGGGUGUGAAAUCCCUCGGCCUAACCGAGGAACUGCGCUUGAAACUACCAGACUCGAGGGAGAUAGAGGAAAGCGGAACUGAUGGUGGAGCGGUGAAAUGCGUUGAUAUCAUCAGGAACACCGGUGGCGAAGGCGGCUUUCUGGGGGUUUUCUGACGCUGAGGAACGAAAGCCAGGGUAGCGAACGGG
rnacentral:rRNA from 1 species